UUAAAUUGAAGAGUUUGAUCAUGGCUCAGAUUGAACGCUGGCGGCAGGCCUAACACAUGCAAGUCGAACGGUAGCACAGAGAGCUUGCUCUCGGGUGACGAGUGGCGGACGGGUGAGUAAUGUCUGGGAAACUGCCUGAUGGAGGGGGAUAACUACUGGAAACGGUAG
rnacentral:rRNA from 1 species